CCCAUUCCAGGAGGUUCCCAAGCAGGCUUGUCAGCUUCAUACUACUGACUGCAAGCUUGUCCAACAGAAAGGCAGAAUGUAGAAGGCUGCCAAACCAGCAGCAGAAAAUUAGCCAGGCUGCAAUGGAGUCCUGACAUUUGGAAGGCCAGAGCUCGUAAGGGUGGCUGGAGGAGAGCAAGAUGACUCUACCAAGUCAAGUUGUGUCAAGUUGAUGUAAAACUGUCUGGCAUGCUUACCGUGAUGGACCAGCCUGCUCACCAUGAU